UAACCUUUGGACUGUAUUACCCUCAUUUAUCAUUUUGUAUUUUCUCUGUUUGAUUCUUUGAAAAUUUUGAGUGCUUAAACAGACACUCAAUCUCUUGCUUCAUUCCAAAAGAGAGAAAUCUUUUUAAGAUAAAAAAAUAAAAGAGACUUUUCUUAGCUUGUAGAUAUCCGAUCCCUUUCUUGCAAUUCUGGUGGAAAGCUGAUUGUUUAAGGCAUCACUUUUUCUGUUACAAAAGUAUGGGAGAUCACUUUGUGUUUUUGGUUGAUCGGUUGCUAACUGAAUCAACUUUAGGGGCUGCAAUUGAAAGCAGAAACCAGAAACAGCUGGCAUCAUCGACGACGAAUAACUCGGUAGUUGAUUGCUCUUCACAGGAUUCUGAUCCUAUGUUGAGUCCUAGGAAGAUGGUUGAAUGCAGGAUAUGUCAAGAUGAAGAUAUGGAUUCAAAUAUGGAAACUCCUUGCUCUUGUUGUGGUAGCUUGAAGUAUGCACAUCGGAGAUGCGUGCAAAGAUGGUGUAAUGAGAAGGGUGAUACCAUUUGUGAGAUAUGCCACCAGCCUUUUAGGCCUGGUUAUACGGCACCUCCCCCUAUUUUUCGACUUGGAGGCAUCCCAAUGAAUUUCAGGGGGAAUUGGGGAAUUGUCAGAAGAGACUUGAAUAAUCCUCGUCUGAUAGCAGUCGUUUCAACUGAUCGCGAUUUCAUCAACUCUGACGACUAUGAUGAUGACUAUGCAGUCUCUACAUCAAGAAGCAUGAUGUGUUGUCGUUCAGUCGCAAUGAUUUUUAUGCUGCUACUCAUUUUACGGCACACUCUUCCCAUCAUAGUCAAUCAAGCAGAGGACUAUUCGUUCCCUUUGGUCAUGGUAAGCUACUACUGCUGAGGAUUACCGGCAUUGUUUUGCCUAUCUACAUCAUAAUGAAAGCAGUUACCUCUUGCCACCGACGCCAACGCCGGCAGGCUAUUUUACCUAUCUCCUCGUCUGAUGAAGAAUCCGGGCCCAUGAUACUGUCACAUCAACCUCCCAUCAUCGAUACCCCUUGAAAGUGCUAGAUAUACGUCAUUCCACGUUUACUGGACUGUUAUUACACCGUCGUGCUGCGUAAAACUUGCUGCAGAGAGGACGGAUGACUGGGAAAAGAAUACACAUGCGCGUGUUGCAGCUAGUGUUUCUUAUUGUGAAGGAUGAUCAGCAGUCAAAGAAGUUGUAGAUUGAAGAAAUAUCAAAAAAAGAAAAAUACAAAUUUGAAAAGGCCAAGAAAGAAAAAAGAUUUUAAGUUUCCCAUUAGAAAGGUUUCAAGGUUGUGAAUUAUUAGUUAGAAAUCUGUGUACAGUCAGUUAAGUCUCAACCAUGUAUAUGAACACACAAAAAGGUAGCAGGUUAGUCUACCUUAUGAUAUAUGAUAUGAUGUUUUUUA